UAAGACAGAGGGUGCGAGCGUUGUUCGGAAUUACUGGGCGUAAAGGGCGCGUAGGCGGUCUGUUAAGUUCGGUGUGAAAGCCCUCGGCUCAACCGGGGAAGUGCGCCGGAUACUGACAGACUUGAGUACCGGAGAGGAGGGUGGAAUUCCUGGUGUAGCGGUGAAAUGCGUAGAUAUCAGGAGGAACACCGGUGGCGAAGGCGGCCCUCUGGACGAGUACUGACGCUGAGGCGCGAAAGCGUGGGGAUCAAACAGGAUUAGAUACCCUGGUAGUCCACGCUGUAAACGAUGGAGACUAGGUGUGGGGGGUAUUGACCCCUCCCGUGCCGACGCUAACGCAUUAAGUCUCCCGCCUGGGGAUUACGGCCGCAAGGUUA
rnacentral:rRNA from 1 species